rnacentral:lncRNA from 1 species
UUUUGUUGUCAAAUUUAUCUAAAGUCAGUUUUAGUUAUUUACAAUAUGCAUUAGAUUGAGAUUCUUCAGAGUUGGAAAAUGUUCAGAAUAAGUGAAUAAGUGAUAACAUUAUCCCAUUUUUCAUAGUCAACAAAUAAAUAAGAAAUGUCUGGAACCAAAUAUGAAUCUUUCCCUUUUACCAUAUCAGUUAUUUUAAUCAGCAUUAGUUUUAUUAAAAACAUUCUCCACUACAGUAGUGGUGUUUUAAGCACAUAUUUCUAAUGGCUCUAGCUUAAUCAAUCAGAUCUCAGACCUUUGUCUGUAUGCUGUAAUCAUUUGAUCAUAUUUACUGCCAUAAAGUUUGAUCUUAUAACAUUGAUAUUAGUCUGUUUGCUUUUCCUGAUGGUAAUUUAUUGAUAUUUUGGUUUUUCCAAUCUCAUAUCAUAUAAUUAUUCCAAUUGUCCAUAUAUUCUAUAAAAUGUUAGACUAAGUAUGUUACGAUGAAAGGUUAUACAGUAAUGGGUCAUUUAAAAUGUAUACCAAGAGUAAUAGAGAUGGAGUCUUUAUUAAUUAAAUUGUUGAUUAGACACCAGACUUGCCUCUCUCAAAUAAACAUUUAAGAUUUCCUAAUUUUACACAUACAUGUAGGUUUCUUGUAUUAUAAGAGAUUACAUAUAGAUCUGAUAAGUAACAGUGACCACACUGAAUGUAUUAUAAUUGUUUUUCCUAAAUUAAAAGACACUUUUAUUGUCCAAAUUGAAAACUAAUUAGUAGGAACUGUUCCAUUAACUUAAUGGCUCUUUGUCCAGAAAUUGAAUUAGAUAAGUAAAUGAAUGUGUCUUCCUGUUUAUUACUGAUGUUGAGGUUAUUAGGGACAAACACUUAAGAUGCCCCUUAUUCAUCUCUAUAAUGUUUUAUUCAAUAGUUAUAUAAAAAGGUGUUCCCUCAAUGGUGUAGGAAUGAAGCAUAUGAUAUAAUUUUCUACUGUGAAUGGAUAUUAUACAAUUUUUCUGACUGUUAGAUGUAAAAAAUCAAUGUAAUGUGAUUAGUGUCUAGAUGUCUGUUAUUUCUAUUUGGUUCUGAGAGAAUAGCAACUAGGUUAAUUCUAUAAAACCUUUGGGAUUUGCGUUUUCUUCUAAUUUGUUAGAGUGAUAAUGAAUUUUAGCACUGAAAUUAUUAAUAAAUUGAUUCCAAAUGGUUUUAUGUCAGAACGGGGAGCAUUGCAUAAGUGUCUUUAGAGAACAUUAACUUUAUGCAGUUCAGUAGUUGUAUUAAACAGUAAAUAAGUUAUUUUAUCUUUUUUGUCAAUAAAUUUACAUUUAAUUCUACUAAUGUUAUGGAACAGUUUGAUAAGGAUUUUAUUGAUAAAUGUUAAUCACAGUUUGGAAGAGAACAGAUCUCCAGUUUAGUUUGGAAUGUUUUAAGAACAUUGUAAAAUACUUGUCUAGUUCUUAUCAUUAUACUUAAAAAUUGGUUUUGCGAAAAAAGAAAAUCCUGUGUAAUGCUAUAACUGUUCCUAAUAUAACAUGAAGCCCUAUAUGCCUGCAGUUAUAUUGCAUCAAUCUAUAUUAGACAACGGUUUGAUAACAGCAGUAUUUAUUCAGUUCUAUAUUAGGCAGCCGAGAAGUUUGAUUAGGUUAAGUUUAUCUUGUGCUGUAAUCAAUCUGUUGAUGAGAAGACAUCCUACUCAAUCAGAGGACAAUGACGGGAGAAUUAUUGAUUUAUAUAAAUGAACGAUGCUUUUAAUUAUUAUAUUCUGGGUUCCUUUUGUUUUGCUCAAACCAAGGAGAAUGAACAAUUUUAGUACAAAUGUACUUCACAACUUUGUUACAUUGGUACUAAGUUGUGAGUGUGAUGUCAGGUUGGGAUGGGGAUUAGGGGCACCCUUGUUCUAAUUUGAACCUGCAUUGCACAAAGUUUACGUUAAUAAAACAUUGAAAGUAGUAACACGUUUGUGAUUUCAAAACAGAGGAGGUAGAGUGCACAUGGUUAAGGAUUUUUUUUUAUCAAUAACUUUUAUUAAUUGAAAAUGCUGCCAAAAUCAUGAAGUAGAAAUUUAUUUAGCGAGCUGCAAGCUUGUACAAGGUAUUGUUUAAUAAAUGUUCCAUUGUUUUUAAACUUGUUUUUAAUAUCAAUGUAAGGGCUAGUUAUACAGUUCUGCAUGAAAGUAUUGACUGUUGAAGCUUAAUGAAUAUGAAAACAGUAUUGUGUUGGGACCUGUCCUUAUUUGUUUUAUUUUAAAAGACUUAUAACCCACAGUGCUGGAUCCAGAACUUUUCAUAAGGAUUCCCUACAUUAUCAACCAAAUUCCCUCUCCCCCCCCCCCCCUUUGAUCUGCCUAUGACCCAUUCAUCCAACAAUGUUGCAGUAUUGUGACUUAGAUAAGAAUCCAUGUGUUUUCCUUAUACAUUAUUAAUUUAGUACUAUGGUUUCAUUAUAAGUUCAUGAGGUACUUUGUGUGUAAAAAAAAUGCUGCUUUUAAGGACUAGAUAUAGUUACACAAAUGUUCUUAAUUUAACUCAAAUCAUGAAUGUAAUCUAUACGUAACUUGUAUAUAACUGUAAUGAAUAUGUGAUAGGUUUAAUUAACCAGCCUUAUAUGUACAAAGAUUGUGAUAUACAUGGACAGCUUUGUAUCAUUAUGCAUGUAUGUUAUUUUAUAAUUGAUAAUUUUUUUCAUGCUUCAUUGUGCUUGAGGAGUGUGAACAUGUUGCAUGUGUGUUGAAUCAUAAAAUCAAUACCUUAUUAGGAUUCCAUUCACCCAGUCAUCAGAUGUGUUGUUAUAUCAUUAUUGUACAAUUUUAAUAUUAGUUUUCACAAAAUUACAUGUCAAUUUACAAUCAAGAUUAGCAAAAUGGGAUAGUGUUUUUGUGGACAGAUGUUUAACCAUGGUGAUUCAUAUAUCAGUAAAUUAAUCAACUAUCAACUGAAGAAGAGACAAAAUGUUAAAUAUGGACAUGUUAAUGUUUAAAUCCUCACUGCUGAUUGUAUUUUAUGAGAUUUAUGGCUUUCUUAAUACUUCUCUCAAAGUAUUAAAAAUCCCAUUUCUGCAGGUUUAAGUUUUUCUCUAAUUUAUGUCAUUAACCAAUAAAACCAACUGUUACUGAAAACUAGUACUGAUACAUAUAGGUACUGUAAAGAUAAAAUAACAUCUGCUAAUCUAAAAUUACAUUUCCAUUAGAAGCAUUGAGGAAAUUGAAAAUUAUGUUCAGCAAGAGCAGUUCUUUUGACAGUUAUUUCAAUUAGUGCCUGAUGUUUCAAAUUUCCUGAGCUUGGAAAGUGGGAAAGGUUCUUGGUAUAAGGAAUUAGCUCAUGAUUAAGAACAUAAAUAUUAAAUAGGUUUGAUUUGGUGUACUAUGCAUUUUGAAUAUUUAGUACAUGCAACACAGAAGUUCUAGUUCUUAUCCCAAUUAAAAUUUUGAUUAAUUUUGUGAAAGCAUAUAUUAGAUUAUCUUGAUGGUAUAUGUUUGGGCUAAAAUAAAGGAAAGCCAUUUGUAUACAUUUGAUUGGAUGUUGAAAGUUAGCAAUUAUUAAUGACUUUAUAUAGGCUUUGAAUUCAAAGCAAAAUGGCUGGUUAAAUUGAAAAAAAGGGAAAGAGAUUUUUGGAGACAAAAAGUUGUCUGGAGAGAUAAUCUGCAAAAGUGCUACAUAUCCUUUGUAAAAUGUUCUAGUGAAAUGACUUGGGGUAAAGAACAGUUGUCUAACUUAAUGGGGAGAGGGAUGGGUGUUAUUGGGUUUUGAAAAAGGAAUUGUAAGGAUAGGUCCUGGGAAAAGAUAUUUAAGGGGGGCAUGUUGAAUGGAAGUCAGAAUGAAUACAGUAUAACAAUAAUAUUGUGAGAAAGUGCAUUUGCUUUGUAUAAUGCUUUUUGUAACUUGUGAACUUUUGUUGAUGUUAGUGAAAAAUGUUUGGUUGUUAUUUUGUUUGAAUGAGAUUGUUAUAAAUGUUUUUGAGUAUAUAUGCAAUAUCAUUAAUUACACUUUGUUACUUAUUUUCUUUUGUUUUGAGAAUACUUGUGCCAAUUGGGGAUACAAGAAAUAAAUCAUGUUCAAAUACAGUGUGAUUUUUCAUAAUUGGCCAUCAUUAUAAUUCCUUAUUUGAAUAGUCUGGUAUCUUGUCAGACCAUACAAUAAACUAUACCCA